AAAGAAAGCGUGAUGAAUCAAUUAGAUGUCUGAGAUGGAUUUUCCAUUCCUGAGUUUUAAAACCUUGAGGCAUUUAUAAUCUUAUUUAUUUUUU
rnacentral:snoRNA from 1 species